UACGCGGCCGCGAUUCGGUCCCCCGGCUUCCAGAUUCCUCUGAUUUAGGGACGCUCCCGGGAUCGACGGUUAGAGCUCCGGCCUCCGAGGAAAACGAAGGGGAAGGCACCGGGGCGGGCCCGAUCCCAUCCGGUUAGAAAGCCACAAAGACCAGGACGCCCCGAGACGGCCGCCGCCGACGGUGGAUGAGAAUUCCGGUCCUGAAGGCUGAUUUUCGCUCCCGGGAAAGGGAAGGCGUGUUGACUUCAUCGAAGGUACCAGACGGGGGCAAGUCGGAGUAUCCCGUUUCAGCGGAAAGAGGGGCUAAAAUCGGACUCAUCGAGAUCCAGAUCGCGGAGUUUCAGUGAGGCCUGCCAAGAUCUUGGGACACACCCCGGGAAUCUCCUUGAGGAUCAGGGUCAAGGUCAGGAGCGGAUCCCACGAUUCCUCAUGCCGACGCAGUCACACGACUGCGAUGGAAAGACUCUCUGGAGGGCCAUUUCGCGCCGUUGCUGUUGCAAUUCAUGUUUCAGAGAUUAUUUUUUUUUGCAUUCUGGCCUUUCACCUCUGGCCGGCGGAGAAAAUCUAAAAUAGAAACCUCUGUUUGUUUUCUUUCUAAA